rnacentral:misc_RNA from 1 species
GAUGAAGAACGCAGCGAAAUGCGAUACGUAAUGUGAAUUGCAGAUUUCAGUGAAUCAUCGAAUCUUUGAACGCACAUUGCGCCCGCCAGUAUUCUGGCGGGCAUGCCUGUUCGAGCGUCAUUUCAACCAUCAAGCCUUCGCUUGUGUUGGGGCCCCGCGGCUGCCGCGGUCCCCUAAAUCCAGUGGCGGGCUCGUCGUCGUACCGAGCGCAGUAGACAUCCUCGCUCCGGGAACCCGACGGGUGCCGGCCGUGAAACCCCCCACAUCAAGGUUGACCUCGGAUCAGGUAGGAAUACCCGCUGAACUUAAGCAUAUCAAUAGCGGAGGA